CAGGCUUAACACAUGCAAGUCGAGGGUCAGCAUGGUCUUAGCUUGCUAAGGCCGAUGGCGACCGGCGCACGGGUGAGUAACACGUAUCCAACCUGCCGUCUACUCUUGGACAGCCUUCUGAAAGGAAGAUUAAUACAAGAUGGCAUCAUGAGUCCGCAUGUUCACAUGAUUAAAGGUAUUCCGGUAGACGAUGGGGAUGCGUUCCAUUGGAUAGUAGGCGGGGUAACGGCCCACCUAGUCUUCGAUGGAUAGGGGUUCUGAGAGGAAGGUCCCCCACAUUGGAACUGAGACACGGUCCAAACUCCUACGGGAGGCAGCAGUGAGGAAUAUUGGUCAAUGGGCGAGAGCCUGAACCAGCCAAGUAGCGUGAAGGAUGACUGCCCUAUGGGUUGUAAACUUCUUUUAUAAAGGAAUAAAGUCGGGUAUGGAUACCCGUUUGCAUGUACUUUAUGAAUAAGGAUCGGCUAACUCCGUGCCAGCAGCCGCGGUAAUACGGAGGAUCCGAGCGUUAUCCGGAUUUAUUGGGUUUAAAGGGAGCGUAGAUGGAUGUUUAAGUCAGUUGUGAAAGUUUGCGGCUCAACCGUAAAAUUGCAGUUGAUACUGGAUAUCUUGAGUGCAGUUGAGGCAGGCGGAAUUCGUGGUGUAGCGGUGAAAUGCUUAGAUAUCACGAAGAACUCCGAUUGCGAAGGCAGCCUGCUAAGCUGCAACUGACAUUGAGGCUCGAAAGUGUGGGUAUCAAACAGGAUUAGAUACCCUGGUAGUCCACACGGUAAACGAUGAAUACUCGCUGUUUGCGAUAUACUGCAAGCGGCCAAGCGAAAGCGUUUAGUAUUCCACCUGGGGAGUACGCCGGCAACGGUGAAACUCAAAGGGAAUUGACGGGGGCCCCGCACAAGGGGGAGGAACAUGUGGGUUAAUUCGAUGAUACGCCAGGAACCCUUACCCCGGGCUAAAUUUGCAGAUGAAUUUACGGUGAAAGCCCGUAAGCCGCAAGGCAUCUGUGGAGGUGCUGCAUGGUUGUCGUCAGCUCGUGCCGUGAGGUGUCGGCUUAAGUGCCAUAACGAGCGCAACCCUUGUUGUCAGUUACUAACAGGUUCCGCUGAGGACUCUGACAAGACUGCCAUCGUAAGAUGUGAGGAAGGUGGGGAUGAUGUCAAAUCAGCACGGCCCUUACGUCCGGGGCUACACACGUGUUACAAUGGGGGGUAUAGAGGGCCGCUACCACGCGAGUGGAUGCCAAUCCCCAAAACCUCUCUCAGUUCGGACUGGAGUCUGCAACCCGACUCCACGAAGCUGGAUUCGCUAGUAAUCGCGCAUCAGCCACGGCGCGGUGAAUACGUUCCCGGGCCUUGUACACACCGCCCGUCAAGCCAUGGGAGCCGGGGGUACAAGGAGUGCGUAACCGCGAGGAG
rnacentral:rRNA from 1 species